rnacentral:rRNA from 1 species
UGGGGAAUUUUGGACAAUGGGCGAAAGCCUGAUCCAGCAAUGCCGCGUGUGUGAAGAAGGCCUUCGGGUUGUAAAGCACUUUUGUCCGGAAAGAAAUCCUUGGCUCUAAUACAGUCGGGGGAUGACGGUACCGGAAGAAUAAGCACCGGCUAACUACGUGCCAGCAGCCGCGGUAAUACGUAGGGUGCAAGCGUUAAUCGGAAUUACUGGGCGUAAAGCGUGCGCAGGCGGUUUGCUAAGACCGAUGUGAAAUCCCCGGGCUCAACCUGGGAACUGCAUUGGUGACUGGCAGGCUAGAGUAUGGCAGAGGGGGGUAGAAUUCCACGUGUAGCAGUGAAAUGCGUAGAGAUGUGGAGGAAUACCGAUGGCGAAGGCAGCCCCCUGGGCCAA